GAGAACCAGAAGGCACUUUGCCGAGACCGAGAUUCAGCUGCAGGUCAAGCCUUUUCCUGCGUGGCUAUGUGCAAGGUUGCCAGUAAGGACAUGCCUUUCUCUUCCAGGAUUGCUAGGAUUGCAUCUUAACAAAGGUUUUUUCAGCACGUUGGAGAUAAUUGUGUGAUUUUCCUCCUUGAGUGUAUGAAUGUGGGUACAUGUGCAGAAUUUGCAAGAUAGUUGCAUCCUUGAGGAAUCGCCACACUGUCUCCCACAAUGGUUGAACCAAUUUACACUCCCACCAACAGUGUAAAAGUGAUCUUAUUUCUCCACAUCCUCUCCAGCAUCUGAUGUCUCCAGAUUUUUUAAUGAUCACCAUUCUAACUGGUAUAGGGUGGUAUCUCGAUGUGGUUUUGAUUUGCAUUUCUCUAAAGACCAGGGAUGAUGAGCAUUUUCUCAUAUGUUUGCUGGCUGCAUAAAUAUCUUCUUUCAAAAAUUGUCUGUUUAUAUCCUUUGCCCACUUUUUGAUGGGGCUGGUUUUUUGUUGUUGUUGUUUUGUUUUGUUUUUUUGUAAAUCUGUUUUAAUUCUUUAUAGAUUCUGGAUAUUAGUCCUUUGUCAGAUGGGUAGCUUGCAAAAAUUUUUUCCCCUUCUCUUGGUUGCCAGUUCACUCUAAUGAUUGUUUCUUUUGCUGUGCAGAAACUUUUCCACAGUGAAAAGCCUCUUUUAAUUUACAAAGAAUGAUUUUGAAUAUCAAAAGUUUAUGUGCUAAAGUACUUUGUAUGUGAAAUGUGUACUGUACAUUAUGGAAUUGGAAAGAAUUCAGGUUUUUGUUUUUGUUGUCGUCGUUUUGUUUUUUGCCAAAAUAAAAUAAAGGCAUCCAGCCUUUGGAGAAGAUGGCACCAUGGUUAGAUACUGUGGAAAGCCCAUUCUUAGUCAUACCCCAAAUAAGCCCGGAAGGAAGGAAGGAAGGAAGGAAGGAAGGAAGGAAGGAAGGAAGGAAGGAAGGAAGGAAUGAAUCUGAUGGAAGCAGAGAAGGAUUGAGUGUGCAAUUGAAUGCCCAGGUCCCCUCAAGAAGUAGUGGAGAGAAGGCCAAAGGACCUAGAGUAGCCUCAAAAUGGUCACAAGAAAAAUAUCAAGUACAGGGACUAUACUGAUAAGGACUAAGUCAAGAUCGGAAUAAUCUCAAUUAAUGGCAACAGAGAUGGCCACUGGGGCUCAUGUAUCUCCAGAGAAUCCAAUCUGAGGAGGUAAAAAUGAUCCUGGAUAAAGUUCUUCUUCCUGAACUUGACCUGAACUUGAUUCACCCCAAGGAUAAUGGGGAACUGGACGAAAGGGAAGAAGAAGAGCCUUUCAUUUUAUUGUUUUUACUCAUAACAUGUCUUAUUAAUCAUUAACUGCUUGAGUUUACAUGAAAAGGUUUAGAUUACUUUUUUUUUCAUCAAGCAGAUCGGGAGCUCAAAAUUACAAAGUAGAAUGAAUUGCAGAACUUUCUUAAAGUAACCUUUGUAGACACUUGCAUAGAUAGCCUGUAUAAUUCACGACUGGUUUACACAUUUUAUUUGACAUUUCUGCAUUUUAAAAAUAUUUGACAAUGAGAAUCCUGUGUACUCAUAUAUUUCUUGUGUAUCUUUUAAUAAAUAUCUUAGUAUUGUAAAAAAUAAAAAUAAA
rnacentral:lncRNA from 13 species